AAAUAGAACUUUGCAGAGAGAGUUAACAGGGCGUGAAACCGUUGAUUGGCAAACGAAUCGGAGCCACGAAGUCGUUUCGUCGUUUAGCCUAUGGCUUGGUUCAGCGAGUGUCGCAAGGCACUUGUGUAUUCCAGAGCUUGGCCAAACUUUGUAAGCGUACACUGCAACCAGUUAGACGAUUAGCCAUGGGCACAGUUGUUGGCAAUGCCUCGGCAGGGCCUUCAGCGAAGCACUUGUUUGCUUGUGAUAGUAGUAGCGCGGUCGGGUCUUGUACCCUUCUCGUGUUGCUGGUCACUUGCGAGAGAACUAUGGCUAAAUACUGACUGGCGAAAUGAAAAUCGCUCUAUGAGCGUUAGAGACAACGCAGCUAACCGCAUGCUGGUCUACACAGUUGACUGUCAAGUGCAAGCUUGGCGUCUUUGAAUUCAGACUUGCGCGCUACCAGUGGGGCAACUCCUGGUGCGUGUAUAGCUUCUGUCUAAUCGGGCGUCGACUUCAUCUGGCAUCGUUUGGUUGUGAAACGAUUGGGCUAGUAUGCGAGCUAGUUCGCAAUGCGAAUUGGCAGUGAGUAGGUCGGCUUUCCGAACGACCCGUCUUGAAACACGGACCAAGGAGUCUAAUUAGGCAUCGAGUCGAUCGGUCUUGAUAGGCCAGACAUGUGAGUUUCGACUUGCAACUUGAAGGCGUAGAGAAAUCAAAUCGUGUGAUCGUGGUGGCAAAAACAGCCGCUUCGCGCAACAUGUGCCUGUUCGUAUAACUACUGUAGCAAUACUAGUUGAGCGGAGCAAAGAGAUGCCUGAUUGGGACCCGAAAGAUGGUGAACUAUGCCUGGGCAAAUUGAAGCCAGAGGAAACUCUGGUGGAGGAUUGUAGCGAUUCUGACGUGCAAAUCGAUCGUCAGACCUGGGUAUAGGGGCGAAAGACUAAUCGAACCAUC
rnacentral:rRNA from 1 species